CAGCCGCCGCGGUAACACCAGCCCCCCGAGUGGUGGGGAUGAUUAUUUGGCCUAAAGCGUCCGUAGCCUGCUCUGUAAAUCUCUCGUUAAAUCCAGCGUCCUAAGCGUUGGGCUGCAAGGGGAACUGCAGAGCUAGAGGGUGGGAGAGGUCAGCGGUAUUCCUGGGGUAGGGGCGAAAUCCAUUGAUCCCAGGAGGACCACCAGUGGCGAAGGCUGCUGACUUGAACACGCCUGACGGUGAGGGACGAAAGCUGGGGUAGCGAAUCGGAUUAGAUACCCGAGUAGUCCCAGCCGUAAACGAUGCAGGCUAGGUGUUGGGUUGGCCACGCGCCGACUCAGUGCCACAGGGAAGCCAUUAAGCCUGCCGCCUGGGGAGUACGGCCGCAAGGCUGAAACUUAAAGGAAUUGGCGGGGGAGCAC
rnacentral:rRNA from 2 species